AUUUAUCAGCUAAUUUCAUGAGAAACCACAGCUUUGAAAUUCUAUUUCAUACUCUGGAACUGUGAAAAGCCUCAAGUGAAAUGAAGGCACUAAAAAGGAAGAAGGUACUGUUUCAAUGCUCAACAAGUAAAUAAGGAAGAUCUGCUGCUGCUGCACUUAACUUGUCUUCCUUGGUGUGUGAGGCAGAGGAGAAAGGAGAGACAAAGACAAAAGGAAGGCUCCAAGUAGUAGCUCACAUAUUCCAAGAUGGCCCAGGACUUGGAGAUAAAGGAAGAGUGCUAAAGGGAAAUGAAGAGGAGGAUGUGUCUAUAACAUGAAAUAAGUUAACAGUCUGUGGCGGUUCCUGAUUUGAACCCAUGUAAAACUUUCCUUCUGUAAAUAUGAUUAAAGCAAUGAAAAUUGAAUCAACUUUUUGAAUUUUCAGCUUCUUUUAGUAGCAUAAAACAUAGAUAAAUUAAUGUACUGCUCAAACGUCUGAGUGCUCUGGGCAUGUAAUUUUUCCUUUUCCUCAACCCAGUUGUAUGUUUUGCCUUUACUACAUCUGUACGUCAAGUUUCUCUUACUCUUUGUGAUUCAAGGGAUUAAAGGCGGGAGCUGUGCCUACUUGCACAGCUGAUAGAAAUAGAUGCCUUUUGUGGAGAAGAGCCGGGGAAGGCAGUAAUGCUGCAGGUAGUAAAAGGGUUCCAGAUACCGUAGACGUCUAAAAUAGACCCUCUCUAUAAUCCUAAUGUAAAACAGAGAUACUAUAGCUGUAAUGAAAUUAUAUGCAUUUUGUUUGUUUGUUUGUUUGUUUGUUUGUUUGUUUUUUCCCUGCCUUGUGCAAAUAUAGCUUUUGGAAAACUGCAUUUUUGGGAGGAUGGACAAGAAAAGUAAAGCUGUUGUACACAUAGAAGAGAAAAUAAGACUUUCUAAA